UACGGAGAGUGCAAACGUUGUUCGGAAUCACUGGGCGUAAAGCGCACGUAGGCGGACUCUUAAGUCGGUGGUGAAAUCCUGGAGCUCAACUCCAGAACUGCCUUCGAUACUGAGAGUCUCGAGUCCGGGAGAGGUGAGUGGAACUGCGAGUGUAGAGGUGAAAUUCGUAGAUAUUCGCAAGAACACCAGUGGCGAAGGCGGCUCACUGGCCCGGUACUGACGCUGAGGUGCGAAAGCGUGGGGAGCAAACAGG
rnacentral:rRNA from 1 species